AAGUUUUUCAAUUAAAACUUUUUUUUUAUAUAUAAAACUAAAGGAAACCCAAACCCAUCAAUACCCUUGCUGUUAAUAAAUUAUUCAGCUAAAUUAAAUUUUCUUUUACCCCUCAAUUAAUUCCUCUUAGAAAAUGUACACUAGUUAAAAAUGUUUAUUAAUUGUGUAUAAUAUAUAUAUGCAGAAAAGUGGGAAAGAAAUGCUGAAUCGUUAGAUAAGACAGAGAAACUACCAUCUAAAGAUAAAUGGGAAAGAAAUGUUGGAUUAUCAGACGAAAAGUGCAAACAGUAUUGCUGUGUUACAAUUGUUAUUGAGAGGGUCGGCUGUCUGUGUUGCGACAAACUAUCAUCUACAGAAAUUAAAAAAUAUCCAAUUCAAGUGGUAAUGAACGUAGAAGCUUCUGGUGAAAUAGGAGGAGUUCAGCUGCUGAGGGUUCCAGGCCAGUAAACAAGAAUAAUAAUUUAUGAACAUUUUAUAUACCUGGUUUGUGUGUAAAUCUUUUUAAAAUAAAAUAUUGAAAUAAGAGGAAUGGAACAAAAAUUAUGUUAAUAGAAAUAAAAGAAGAUAAAGUCAGUCUUUUUUAAUUAUUACAUGUCUCUAUAUAUCUCUCCAUUUUAUUAGCCUAGAAUAUAAUUAAUAAGAGCUGA